AUUGAACGCUGGCGGCAGGCCUAACACAUGCAAGUCGAGCGGCAGCGACUUAACUGAACCUUCGGGGAACGUUAAGGGCGGCGAGCGGCGGACGGGUGAGUAAUGCCUGGGAAUAUGCCCUGAUGUGGGGGAUAACUAUUGGAAACGAUAGCUAAUACCGCAUAAUCUCUUCGGAGCAAAGAGGGGGACCUUCGGGCCUCUCGCGUCAGGAUUAGCCCAGGUGGGAUUAGCUUGUUGGUGAGGUAAUGGCUCACCAAGGCAACGAUCCCUAGCUGGUCUGAGAGGAUGAUCAGCCACACUGGAACUGAGACACGGUCCAGACUCCUACGGGAGGCAGCAGUGGGGAAUAUUGCACAAUGGGGGAAACCCUGAUGCAGCCAUGCCGCGUGUGUGAAGAAGGCCUUCGGGUUGUAAAGCACUUUCAGUAGGGAGGAAGGUAGUGUAGUUAACACCUGCAUUAUUUGACGUUACCUACAGAAGAAGCACCGGCUAACUCCGUGCCAGCAGCCGCGGUAAUACGGAGGGUGCGAGCGCUAAUCGGAAUUACUGGGCGUAAAGCGCAUGCAGGCGGCCUGUUAAGUCAGAUGUGAAAGCCCGGGGCUUAACCUCGGAAUUGCAUUUGAAACUGGCAGGCUAGAGUCUUGUAGAGGGGGGUAGAAUUUCAGGUGUAGCGGUGAAAUGCGUAGAGAUCUGAAGGAAUACCAGUGGCGAAGGCGGCCCCCUGGACAAAGACUGACGCUCAGAUGCGAAAGCGUGGGGAGCAAACAGG
rnacentral:rRNA from 1 species